rnacentral:pre_miRNA from 1 species
CUCGGGCAGGGAGCUCCCUCAGCCCGGAUUGCAAGAGGGCACAGGGCAGGCUGAGGGACCCCACCUGUGCAUG